UACAGAGGGUGCAAGCGUUGUUCGGAAUUAUUGGGCGUAAAGAGCUCGUAGGCGGUUUGUUGCGUCGGCUGUGAAAUCCCGAGGCUCAACCUCGGGUCUGCAGUCGAUACGAGCAAACUAGAGUGUUGCAGGGGAGACUGGAAUUCCUGGUGUAGCGGUGAAAUGCGCAGAUAUCAGGAGGAACACCGGUGGCGAAGGCGGGUCUCUGGGCAACAACUGACGCUGAGGAGCGAAAGCUGGGGGAGCGAACGGG
rnacentral:rRNA from 1 species